GACGAACGCUGGCGGCGUGCUUAACACAUGCAAGUCGAACGGUGAACCUCUUCGGAGGGGAUCAGUGGCGAAAGGGUGAGUAACACGUGGGCAACCUGCCCCCGGCUCUGGGAUAACUCCAAGAAAUUGGGGCUAAUACCGGAUGUUCACCGCUUCCCGCAUGGGUGGUGGUGGAAAGGGUUUCCGGCUGGGGAUGGGCCCGCGGCCUAUCAGCUUGUUGGUGGGGUAGUGGCCUACCAAGGCGACGACGGGUAGCCGGCCUGAGAGGGUGACCGGCCACACUGGGACUGAGACACGGCCCAGACUCCUACGGGAGGCAGCAGUGGGGAAUAUUGCGCAAUGGGCGGAAGCCUGACGCAGCGACGCCGCGUGGGGGAUGACGGCCUUCGGGUUGUAAACCUCUUUCAGCAGGGACGAAGCGCAAGUGACGGUACCUGCAGAAGAAGCACCGGCCAACUACGUG
rnacentral:rRNA from 1 species